rnacentral:rRNA from 1 species
UACGAAGGGGGCUAGCGUUGCUCGGAAUCACUGGGCGUAAAGCGCACGUAGGCGGCUUUUUAAGUCAGGGGUGAAAUCCUGGAGCUCAACUCCAGAACUGCCUUUGAUACUGAGAAGCUUGAGUCCGGGAGAGGUGAGUGGAACUGCGAGUGUAGAGGUGAAAUUCGUAGAUAUUCGCAAGAACACCAGUGGCGAAGGCGGCUCACUGGUCCGGUACUGACGCUGUGGUGCGAAAGCGUGGGGAGCAAACAGG